GUAUUGAUUGCGUGUGACCGCAAAAAUAACAUUCUACACUGUAUCAAGUUUUGUGUGAAAACGUGGGCCCCCCCUUCCAGGGGAACUCACGCGGUUGUGCACAAAGGGGUGAGAUGGAUGUGUGAGAGUGCUCGGGCGUGCACGACCUUUAAAAAGGUCAGCGACAGCCCGGGCACCUCCGUUGUAUGAUAAUGAUCCUUCCGCAGGUUCACCUACGGAAA
rnacentral:misc_RNA from 1 species